rnacentral:rRNA from 1 species
AAAGAUUAAGCCAUGCACGUGUAAGUACACGCCUUUAUACAGCGAAACUGCGAAUGGCUCAUUAAAUCAUAUGUGAUUUCUUAGAUCGUACUGUCCGUAAUGGACUAAGGAUAACUGUGGUAAUUCUAGAGCUAAUACAUGCACUCAGUUCUGACCCUAGGGGAAGAACGCUCAUAUUAGACCAAGACCUACCGUUGGGGCAACCCUUCGUAGUCUAGGUGACUCUGGAUAUUAAUCAGUCAAUCGAAUGGCCUCGUGCUGUCGAUGUAUCUUUCAAGCGUAUGCCCUAUCACCUGUCGACGUUAGGUUAACAGCCUAUCGUGGGGGUAACGGGUAGCGGGGAAUCAGGGUUCGAUUCCGGAGAGGGCGCAUGAGAAAUGGCGACCACAUCCAAGGAAGGCAGCAGGCGCGCAAAUUACCCAAUGCCGACACGGCGAGGUAGUGACGAAAAAUAACAAUACGGGACUCUUUUGAGGCCCCGUAAUUGGAAUGAGCACAAUCUAAAUCCUUUAGCGAGGAUCUAUUGGAGGGCAAGUCUGGUGCCAGCAGCCGCGGUAAUUCCAGCUCCAAUAGCGUAUAUUAAAGUUGCUGCAGUUAAAAAGCUCGUAGUUGGAUCUCGGGGUACCUGGUCUAGCCGGUAUAGCUCACGCUAAAACUGGUCUGACCCCCCAACGUGAGGUAUUCGUCUCCGGGUGCACUUCAUUGGGUGCUCGUGAGGGGCCUCGUAGUUACUGUGAAAAAAUUAGAGUGUUCAAAGCAGGCUCAUAUGUUCGGAUAGUCGUGCAUGGAAUAACUGAAUACGUGACUGGCGCUUUUCAGUUGGUCUCGGCGACUGGUCAAAUGAUUAAGAGGGACUGCCGGGGGCAUUGGUAUGGCGGGGUUUAGAGGUGAAAUUCUUGGAUCCUCGCCAGACCAACAAAAGCGAAAGCAUUUGCCAAGAAUGUCUUCAUUAAUCAAGAACGAAAGUCAGAGGUUCGAAGACGAUCAGAUACCGUCGUAGUUCUGACCAUAAACGAUGCCAGCUGGACAUUGGCUUGAGUUGUUUUUCGACCGAGCCAUUGUCCCCCGGGAAACCUAUAAGCGAUCGGGUUCCGGGGGUAGUAUGGUUGCAAAGCUGAAACUUAAAGGAAUUGACGGAAGGGCACCACCAGGAGUGGAGCCUGCGGCUUAAUUUGACUCAACACGGGGAAACUCACCCGGCCCGGACACUGCAAGGAUUGACAGAUUGAUAGCUCUUUCUCGAUUCGGUGGAUGGUGGUGCAUGGCCGUUCUUAGUUGGUGGAGUGAUUUGUCUGGUUAAUUCCGAUAACGAACGAGACUCUGGCCUACUAACUAGUACGCGUAUCUGGGAUUCCAGGUACGUAUAAACUUCUUAGAGGGACAAGUGGCGCUUAGCCACACGAGAUUGAGCAAUAACAGGUCUGUGAUGCCCUUAGAUGUUCGGGGCCGCACGCGCGCUACACUGAAAGAAUCAGAGGGUACGAUUCCUAACCUGAGAGGGUCGGGCAAUCCGUAGAACCUCUUUCGUGCUAGGGACUGGGGCUUGUAAUUCUUCCCCAUGAACGAGGAAUUCCUAGUAAGCGCGAGUCAUCAGCUCGUGUUGAUUACGUCCCUGCCCUUUGUACACACCGCCCGUCGCUACUACCGAUUGGAUGGUUUAGUGAGAUCCUUCGACCGGCCCCUUUGCUUGAUCGCUCUCGCAGC